GAAAGCAUCUGUGCACUAGCAGAGGUCAUUCUGCUUCUAAAGGGACAACACAAGGCCGUUAUUACUUACAUUUCAUGUGAACUACAGCCGUAAUCCUGCAAACACUUACAGAACAACACUAGGAGCCUCGAGGAUAUGUUUGACUAGCAACCACAGCCAAGCAUUCACUGUGUGAGAAGGGGGAAGGAAAAAAAAAGACCUGGGUCAGCAGUACAAACAGGGAAAUGACACCGCCAUGGUGGUGAGACUGAGGAUUUCUGCUUCGCUGGUA
rnacentral:lncRNA from 1 species